UCGACGUGGCUCAGAUUGAACUUUUCCUUCGCUUUACGCCGCGUCGAACGAUGAGUCCCGGUCUGGUGGGUGAUGCGCUACCAGCAGCAACACAUCAAACGCCUAGUAGCGGGGAUAACUACGCGAAAGCGUAGCUAAUACCGCAUACCCUUCGGGGAGUGGGACCUUCGGGCCUCGCACUAUUAGAGCGGCCGAUAUCGGAUUAGCUAGUUGGUGGGUAACGGCUCACCAAGGCGACGAUCCGUAGCUGGUUUGAGAGGACGACCAGCCACACUGGACUGAGACACGGCCCAGACUCCUACGGAAGGCAGCAGUGGGUAGGAACGGGACAAUGGGGAAACCCUGAUCCAGCCAUCCUAUGUGUGCGAUGAAGGCCUUCGGGUUGUAAAGCACCUUUGGCAGGAGUGAAAUGGGCACGUGAUAAUAACCUGUGCAACUGGACGGUACCUGCAGAAUAAGCACCGGCUAACUAUAAAGUCAGCAGCCGCGGUAAUACGUAGGUGGUGCUAUCUGAAUUACUGGGCGGAAGCGCAAAGUAUUCCGGAAAGAAAGAUGUGAAAUCCCAGAGCUUACACCAAACUGCAUUUUUAACUACCGAGCGAGUGUGGCCAGAGGAGGUGGAAUUCCGCGUGUAGUGAAAUGCGUAGAUAUGGGUGGAGGCACCACCGAUAUAGAAGGUACCCGAUAACAUCAAUUGGCACGAAAGCGGUAUAAACAGGAAUUGAUACCUGGUAGUUCCACGUCAAAUGAUGCCACUCUCGUCGUUGGCCUUCUGGCCUUUGGUAGCGGUAAACAACGUGAAGUUGACCGCCUGGGGAGUACGGUCGCAAGAUUAAAAACUCAAAGGAAUUGACGGGGACCCGCACAAGCGGUGGAUGAUGUGGAUUAAUUGAUGCAACGCGAAAAACCUUACCUACCCUUUGACAUGUCUGGAAUCCCGAAGAGAUCGGGAAGCGUGCUCGCAAGAGAACCGGAACACAGGUGCUGCAUGGCUGUCGUCACUGCAGCCGAGAGUUGGGUUAAGUCCUUGCACCAUGUAAUCCUUGUCAUUAGUUAAGCACGAAAGGGCACUCUGACGAGACUGCCGGUGACAAACCGGAGGAGCGUGGGAGCGCCAGCCCUGCGCGUCUCUUGUGGCAGGGCUUCACACGUCAUACAAUGGUCGGGACAGAGGGUCGCCAACCCGCGAGGGGGAGCCAAUCCCGCCAGAAACCCGAUCGUAAACUGGACGUAGUCUGCAACUCGACUGCGUGAAGUCGGAAUCGCUAGUAAUCGCGGAUCAGCAUGGGCACGCAGAACGGUUCCGGGUCUUGUACACACCGCCGUCACACCAUGGGAGUGGGUUUUACCAGAAGUAGUUAGCCUAACCGGCAAGGGUGAUUACCACGGCAGGAUUCAAGAUCAGUGGAAGUCGUAACAAGGUAG
rnacentral:rRNA from 1 species